rnacentral:rRNA from 1 species
GACGAACGCUGGCGGCGUGCCUAACACAUGCAAGUCGAACGAGGUCCAUCCUUCGGGAGAAGACCUAGUGGCGAACGGGUGAGUAACACGUGAGGAACCUGCCCCGAAGACCGGGAUAACCCUCCGAAAGGAGAGCUAAUACCGGAUACCCCCACCGAACCGCAUGGUUUGGUGAGGAAAUGGAUUCCGCUUCGGGAGGGCCUCGCGGCCUAUCAGCUAGUUGGUGGGGUAACGGCCCACCAAGGCAUCGACGGGUAGCUGGUCUGAGAGGACGAUCAGCCACACUGGGACUGAGACACGGCCCAGACUCCUACGGGAGGCAGCAGUGGGGAAUCUUGCGCAAUGGGCGAAAGCCUGACGCAGCAACGCCGCGUGGGUGA